GACGGAGGGUGCAAGCGUUGUUCGGAUUGACUGGGCGUAAAGGGCGUGUAGGCGGUUGGUCAAGUCUGGUGUGAAAGCCCGGGGCUUAACCCCGGAAGUGCAUUGGAAACUAGCCAGCUAGAGCGCGAGAGAGGAGGGUGGAAUUCCUGGUGUAGCGGUGAAAUGCGUAGAUAUCAGGAGGAACACCGGCGGCGAAGGCGGCCCUCUGGCUCGUUGCUGACGCUGAAACGCGAAAGCGUGGGGAGCAAACAG
rnacentral:rRNA from 1 species